rnacentral:rRNA from 1 species
AGGUGUGAUCAUACAAGUGUUAAUGCACCCAAUCCAUUAAAACUAUAUUGUUAAGUGCACCUGGGAUAUAAUAGUACUUAUAUGGGUGAACUCUCAAGUAGUCCUAGUGUUUCAACAU